GGCAGCGUAGCUCAGUGGUAGAGCAGAGGACACAUGAGCCUUUGGUCGCUGGUUCAAAUCCAGCCGCUGCCA
rnacentral:tRNA from 1 species